rnacentral:rRNA from 1 species
AGUGAACGCUGGCGGUAGGCCUAACACAUGCAAGUCGAACGGCAGCACAGUAAGAGCUUGCCCUUACGGGUGGCGAGUGGCGGACGGGUGAGGAAUACAUCGGAAUCUACUUUUUCGUGGGGGAUAACGUAGGGAAACUUACGCUAAUACCGCAUACGACCUACGGGUGAAAGCAGGGGAUCUUCGGACCUUGCGCGAUUGAAUGAGCCGAUGUCGGAUUAGCUAGUUGGCGGGGUAAGGGCCCACCAAGGCGACGAUCCGUAGCUGGUCUGAGAGGAUGAUCAGCCACACUGGAACUGAGACACGGUCCAGACCCCUACGGGAGGCAGCAGUGGGGAAUAUUGGACAAUGGGCGCAAGCCUGAUCCAGCCAUACCGCGUGGGUGAAGAAGGCCUUCGGGUUGUAAAGCCCUUUUGUUGGGAAAGAAAAGCAGCAGGUUAAUACCCCGCUGUUCUGACGGUACCCAAAGAAUAAGCACCGGCUAACUUCGUG